UGUUUAACUGACAUGACUGUGGGACGUCCUACCGGUGGGCUUAGCCCUCUUCCUCGGAGGAGGGCGGCUCAGCUAAUAUCCCAUCGCGGUGCUUUUAAUCGAGUGUCGAGGUGGGCCGGUACGUUUACUUUGAACAAAUUAGAGUGCUCAAAGCAGGCCAUUCUCGCCUGAAUACUGUGUGCAUGGAAUAAUGGAAUAGGAAACCUCACCAGGCCCGGACACCGGAAGGAUUGACAGAUUGAUAGCUCUUUCUUGAUUCGGUGGGUGGUGGUGCAUGGCCGUUCUUAGUUGGUGGAGCGAUUUGUCUGGUUAAUUCCGAUAACGAACGAGACUCUAGCCUGCUAAAUAGGCGUUACUUCUGGUAUCUCGAAGGCCCUCGGCUUCGGUCGAGCGGUUUUUACUACCGACGUAUUAACAAAUCUUCUUAGAGGGACAGGCGGCGUCUAGCCGCACGAGAUUGAGCAAUAACAGGUCUGUAAUGCCCUUAGAUGUUCUGGGCCGCACGCGCGCUACACUGAAGGAAUCAGCGUGUCCUCCCUGACCGAGAGGCCCGGGUAACCCGCUGAACCUCCUUCGUGCUAGGGAUUGGGGCUUGCAAUUAUUCCCCAUGAACGAGGAAUUCCCAGUAAGCGCGAGUCAUAAGCUCGCGUUGAUUACGUCCCUGCCCUUUGUACACACCGCCCGUCGCUACUACCGAUUGAAUGAUUUAGUGAGGUCUUCGGACUGGUGCGCGGCAAUGUAAAUUUUACGUUGCCGAUUGUGCCGGGAAGAUGACCAAACUUGAUCAUUUAGAGGAAGUAAAAGUCGUAACAAGGUUUCCGUAGGUGA
rnacentral:rRNA from 1 species